GAGGGUUGCCUGGACUCCACGAGGUGAAUUUCCAGCUCCAUGGCAUGUCAUCUGGCGUUCCUCUGGGCUGGAGGAACUUCCACAAACACCAGAGCGUGUGGGUCUUGCAUUCUUUGCAUGGCCUUCUUGACUGUUCCUCAUCCUCCUCUCAUCCAAAUGCGUUCCCACAAAACUCUAAAAUGAACAGAUUCCUGAGCCUCACAGACCAAGGCCAGCCGUGAUGGUCCUAUCUUCUACUUCUGUUCUGUCCAGCGUGGCAGCCACCACUGACCUGUGACUCUUGAAACGUGCCUAGUCUGAACGGAGAUGCUCGUAAGGGUAGAACACACCCCAGAUUUGGAAGUUGUAGUGCUAGCUAUCUCAUUAAUUACUGUUCCUACUAAUUACACACCGAGUGAUAAUAGUUUGGAUAAAUGAGUUAAAUAAAUAAUUAAAAUUAAUUUUCAAUUUCCUUUCCUUUUUUCUAAAAUGUGACUCCUAGAAAAUCUUAAAUUAUGGAUCCGGGAGGCAAAGGUGAGCAGUGGCCACUGCGCUUUGAAGGUCAUCAUUUGGGUCAAGGCUGUUCCAGUCGGUCCUUGCUCUUGCCCCUGAUCAUUCCCGACA